rnacentral:lncRNA from 1 species
UUGAUUACUAUUCUUACCCACCACUAUUAUCGCCCAAUUAUUGCUCCUCUCCAUUUUCUGUCAAAACAAAAAAUUACAGCAGUAAAUACAGAAACUUAUCCAUUAAGAAUUUAUGAUGCCCUCCAUUUUCAAUCAUUAUUAUCUCUUAUCCUUUCAUUUGCAAAGGAUAAAUACUUUUCCAAUUUUCAUUGAACUGCCAGGAGAAAACCUAUUACCAUCGUUGUUAGGUUUGAGCAUCGGUGGAUCGAUCCAAGUAUUUCAAUAUUCAGAACCAUCUAUUAUAUUUCCAGUAUUUUGUAAAUAGAACCAUUUGGGUCUCUAUAAUUACUGGAACCAAAUUCGAACUCGAAUGGUCAGUUCCAAUUCGGGUUUGAUUCGACUAAUAAUAUUUUUUUUAUAUACAUUGAAUAAACAUUUCCAUAUAGGCUAUGUCAAUACAUAUACCUUACGUGGGACUACUCAACAAUAUUUGCGUAAUAGAGAAAAUCCAACUAAGAAAUUUUCAAGAAGCAAAAUAGUGGAGAUUAAAAAUCAUGAAAAGAUGAGAAAAUUAAAAUAUCAAAAAUUAAAUUACAAUUUGAUAAGAAAUUAUUACUUUUUUAAUAAUUUUAUUACUUCCAUAAGCGAGGCAUGUUAAAAUCUAUAAUUUAAUUAUGUAUAAUGCUCAAAAUUUUCUACUUUUAAAAUAAACCGACAUGAAAAAAUACUAAUUAAUAAAUUACUACAUAAUAUUAAGAAAUUGCAGAUAUUGAAGUCGCUAUGUUUGAAUAAAAAUGAAAAAUUAUAUUUCAAAAGAGAAUCACAAACUCAAGAUAAUAAAAAAAAGUACACACCACAAUCCAAGUUAUGAAUAUAUCAAGUUCAAUUGUUAUGUGUAAUAAAAAAAUUAAAAAAACAUUUAAAUUUGUAAACAAUGGAAGAAAGUAAAAAGCUCGAAUUGUAAAGAAUGAACGCUUUAAUUUAUCAACUUACAUUACAAUAUAGCUUGAGAUUUUUGAUUCAUAGAAAACUCAGAUUGCAAAUAAUAACAUGUAUUAACCUCUAAAAUACAAUAAUUUGAUAUGUGGCAACAAGCAAAAAGUAGAAAUUAGUCUUGAUUUCUUUGUAUUAGAGUCUAUAGUUUUAGACAAAUUGUUACCCAAAUUUAAUAUGGUUUUUGGUUUUUUUUUAAAAUUUUUUUUACCAACUGAUAAAUUUUAAAUAAGAAAUUAUAUAAAAAUAGGUUCCAUUUAGAUAUCCAGAGCUCUAUUUCAGGAACCAAAAAUUGACUUGGACCCAGUUGCUUCUUUGCUCUCGAUUUGUUCCUAAUUUAUUUUUUUGGAAUAGGAUCGAAACAUAUCGUGCCAGUUCGGGAGGUUCGGUUUCGAUUAAAAUGCUCAUCCCUAAUCAUUGUUGUGACAUUUGAUUUCAAUCUAGAAAAUAAUCCUUCGUUGGUACUCAACAUACAAUUUGAGAUGGGGUACUUGUGGUUGACCACCAAAGAAUUAUCAAUGUCAAUGAUGUUGGUUUCGUCGCUCUUCGAUUUCUUUAUUUAAUCCUUCGAUAUUAUGGUGUUGUUGAGACGAUCAUGAGAAGCAAGGAUGAAGCACGGGCGAAAGUUUAGAAAUAUUCGCUAAAAAUACCCCUCAACUUUCUUUAUACUCACAAAACUCUAUCAAUUUAUUCUAAACAACAUUCUGCAAUUUUUAAUUAUGAGGAAAUCACGUAGAAUUUGAGAUGGGGAAUUUGUGGUCGACCACCAUAGAAUCGCCAUUGCUAAUGAUGCUUGUUCCAUGGCUCUUAAAUAUCUUUAUUCAGUUCGUUAAUAUUCAAUCGCCAAUGGUGGAGGUACCAAUUUAUUUUCUCUCUCUAAAAUUAUUACAAAGGGAAAGUUGCAGCAGCGGUCCCAAACAUUUUCAAUUUUUGCAGACUUUACCCUAAUCUUCAAUUUGUACCAGCGAAGGUUCCAAACCUUUAAGAAACAUGCAACUGAAGUCCGACUUGACGGAAAUCACCUACAAAACCAUUAGUUGACCAAGAAAAUGAAAUUUGACCAAAAUAAAAAAGGUAAAAUGGUAAUUUUGCCCCUAAAAUAAGUCAAAAAUCAAAUCCAAAAAAUAAAAAAAUAAACUAAAACUCAUCUUGCACCCACUAACACACUCCAAACUAGAAAAAUCACCGGCCACCGUCAACCACCCAAUUUGUCGGAAUUCAUCUCCUAGCUAGGGGCCUCAGUCCAUAAACACAUCCCACACAAUUAAUUGAACAAACAACAAUACAAGAAAUCAAAAAUCAAAUUGAAAAGCUAAAGAGUUGCACGGCUUAACCUCUCAAACCGUCACCUAUGGUCACACCCAUGGUCGCGCCUCACUACCGGUAGUCAUGCCCAUCUAGGCGAGCAUAUUCAUAGUAGAACAUCAUCAAAUUAUGGUCAUAUUACGAUGGACUGAUUGGGAAUAUUGGUGCUGAAAAUGGUGAUGAGGUACUGUUGGAGUGCCAAAUUUCUUUUGUAGAAGGAUUGCAAAUUAAUUGUGACGAAUAACUGGAGUUGGGGAGGCGACGACAAGGCUGUGGUCAUAGCUAAGGCCACGGUGCCAACGUUGGGAGAUAGGUGACAGGAUUUGGG